CCUACGGGUGGCUGCAGUGGGGAAUAUUGGACAAUGGGGGCAACCCUGAUCCAGCCAUGCCGCGUGUGUGAAGAAGGCCCUCGGGUUGUAAAGCACUUUCAGUGAGGAAGAACGCCUGGUGGUUAAUACCCAUCAGGAAAGACAUCACUUACAGAAGAAGCACCGGCUAACUCCGUGCCAGCAGCCGCGGUAAUACGGAGGGUGCGAGCGUUAAUCGGAAUUACUGGGCGUAAAGCGCGCGUAGGUGGCUUGAUAAGCCGGUUGUGAAAGCCCCGGGCUCAACCUGGGAACGGCAUCCGGAACUGUCAAGCUAGAGUGCAGGAGAGGAAGGUAGAAUUCCCGGUGUAGCGGUGAAAUGCGUAGAGAUCGGGAGGAAUACCAGUGGCGAAGGCGGCCUUCUGGACUGACACUGACACUGAGGUGCGAAAGCGUGGGUAGCAAACAGGAUUAGAUACCCCUGUAGUC
rnacentral:rRNA from 1 species